UGGGGAAUUUUGGACAAUGGGCGAAAGCCUGAUCCAGCAAUGCCGCGUGUGUGAAGAAGGCCUUCGGGUUGUAAAGCACUUUUGUCCGGAAAGAAAUGGCUCUGGUUAAUACCUGGGGUCGAUGACGGUACCGGAAGAAUAAGGACCGGCUAACUACGUGCCAGCAGCCGCGGUAAUACGUAGGGUCCAAGCGUUAAUCGGAAUUACUGGGCGUAAAGCGUGCGCAGGCGGUUGUGCAAGACCGAUGUGAAAUCCCGAGCUUAACUUGGGAAUUGCAUUGGUGACUGCACGGCUAGAGUGUGUCAGAGGGGGGUAGAAUUCCACGUGUAGCAGUGAAAUGCGUAGAGAUGUGGAGGAAUACCGAUGGCGAAGGCAGCCCCCUGGGAUAACACUGACGCUCAUGCACGAAAGCGUGGGGAGCAAACAGGAUUAGAUACCCUGGUAGUCCACGCCCUAAACGAUGUCAACUAGUUGUU
rnacentral:rRNA from 1 species